rnacentral:rRNA from 1 species
CCUACGGGAGGCUGCAGUGGGGAAUAUUGCACAAUGGGGGAAACCCUGAUGCAGCGACGCCGCGUGAGCGAUGAAGUAUCUCGGUGUGUAAAGCUCCAUUAGCAGGGAAGUAGAUGACGGUACGUGACUAAGAAGCCCCGGCUAACUACGUGACAGCAGCCGCGCUAAUACGUAGGGGGCGAGCGUUAUCCGGAUUUACUGGGUGUAAAGGGAGCGUAGACGGGGUUGAAAGCCAGCUGUGAAAGGCCGGGGCUCAACCUCGGGACUGCAUUUGAAACUGGAUGGCUGGAGUGCCGGAGAGGCAGCCGGAAUUCCUGGUGUAGCGGUGAAAUGCGUAGAUAUUAGGAAGAACUCCGGUGGCGAAGGCAGCCUGCUGGACGGUAACUGACGUUGAGGCUCGAAAGCGUGGGGAGCAAACAGGAUUAGAUACCCGUGUAGUC